GAUGAACGCUGGCGGCGUGCUUAACACAUGCAAGUCGAACGGAAAGGCUCCUGCUUGCAGGGGUACUCGAGUGGCGAACGGGUGAGUAACACGUGGGUGAUCUGCCCUGCACUUCGGGAUAAGCCUGGGAAACUGGGUCUAAUACCGGAUAGGACCACAUUUUGGAUGGUGUGGUGGAAAGUUUUUCGGUGUGGGAUGAGCUCGCGGCCUAUCAGCUUGUUGGUGGGGUAAUGGCCUACCAAGGCGUCGACGGGUAGCCGGCCUGAGAGGGGGUACGGCCACAUUGGGACUGAGAUACGGCCCAGACUCCUACGGGAGGCAGCAGUGGGGAAUAUUGCACAAUGGGCGCAAGCCUGAUGCAGCGACGCCGCAUGGGGGAUGACGGCCUUCGGGUUGUAAACUCCUUUCGCUAGGGACGAAGCGUUUUUGUGACGGUACCUGGAGAAGAAGCACCGGCUAACUACGUG
rnacentral:rRNA from 1 species